rnacentral:rRNA from 1 species
UACAGAGGAGCCAAGCGUUGUCCGGAAUUAUUGGGCGUAAAGAGCGUGUAGGCGGCCCGAUUAGUCCGCUGUGAAAGUCCAGGGCUCAACCCUGGAAUGCCGGUGGAUACUGUCGGGCUAGAGUCCGGAAGGGGCGAGUGGAAUUCCUGGUGUAGCGGUGAAAUGCGCAGAUAUCAGGAGGAACACCAAUAGCGAAGGCAGCUCGCUGGGACGUUACUGACACUGAGGCGCGAAAGCGUGGGGAGCGAACAGG